rfam:Lepisosteus oculatus linkage group LG1, whole genome shotgun sequence.
CAGUAUCAAAAUAUCAGCCGUAUCACUCUGCAACUCACAACUGGCAACCCACUGAAGCUAAGCAGGUGUGAGCCUGGUCAGUACCUGGAUGGGAGACCUCCUGGGAAAAACUAAGUUUGCUGCAGG